rnacentral:rRNA from 1 species
CACGUAGGGGGGCAAGCGUUUGUCCGGAUUUAUUGGGCGUAAAGAGCUCGUAGGCGGCUCAGUAAGUCGGGUGUGAAACCUCCAGGCUCAACCUGGAGACGCCACCUGAUACUGCUGUGGCUAGAGUCCGGUAGGGGAGCGUGGAAUUCCUGGUGUAGCGGUGAAAUGCGCAGAUAUCAGGAGGAACACCAGCGGCGAAGGCGGCGCUCUGGGCCGGAACUGACGCUGAGGAGCGAAAGCGUGGGUAGCAAACAGG